rnacentral:rRNA from 1 species
UCGCCUUUUUUUAAAAAACAUGUCUGUAUGUUUAUUUAUAUAGUCUAGCCUGCCCACUGAGUUAUUAAAGGGCCGCGGUAUUUUGACUGUGCAAAGGUAGCAUAAUCAGUAGUCCUUUAAUUGGGGGCUUGUAUGAAUGGUUGGAUGAGAUACAAUCUGUCUUUAUUAAGAAAUAUAAUUUAACUUUUAAGUGAAAAGGCUUAAAUUUUUUGGGGGGACGAUAAGACCCUAUAAAACUUAUAUAUGUGUAGUUUGAUUUAAGAAUUUUGUUUAAUUUAGGUUAGAUUAAGUAAUAUUUUGUUGGGGAGACAAAAAUAUAAUUGUAACUGUUUAUAUAAUUUAAUACUAAUAGGUAGGUAAUGGCCCUUUGUUAGGGAUUAGAAGAUUAAGUUACUUUAGGGAUAACAGCGUGAUUUCUCUUGAGAGUUCAUAUCGACAGAGAUAGUUGCGACCUCGAUGUUGAAUUAAAGUUUUAGUUGGGUGUAGCCGCUUAACUGGUGGGUCUGUUCGACCUUUAAAACUUUACAUGAUUUGAGUUCAAACCGGCGUGAGCCAGG